GCCCAGCUCAAGUCACCUAUCCGGGCGGAAUAGCCGCCGCUCUCCUAAAGCGGGUGUCGCAUGUUCGAAUCAUGCCGGGGGCA
rnacentral:tRNA from 1 species